rnacentral:snRNA from 1 species
AUACCUGGCAGGGAAGAUACCAUGAUCACGAAGGUGAUUUUCCCAGGGCGGGGCUCAUCCAUACGUGGGAAACUCAGCUGAAUAAUUUGUGGUAGUGGGGAACUGUGUUCGUGCUUUCCCCUA